UCCUCAAUAGUCUAUUGGUUAGGAUAUGGCCCUCUCAAGGCCGAGAGCGGGGUUCAAUUCCCCGUUGAGGAA
rnacentral:tRNA from 1 species